rnacentral:rRNA from 1 species
AGCGAACGCUGGCGGCAGGCUUAACACAUGCAAGUCGAACGGGCAUCUUCGGAUGUCAGCGGCAGACGGGUGAGUAACACGUGGGAACGUACCCUUCGGUUCGGAACAACUCUGGGAAACUGGAGCUAAUACCGGAUACGCCCUUAUGGGGAAAGGUUUACUGCCGAAGGAUCGGCCCGCGUCUGAUUAGCUAGUUGGUGGGGUAACGGCCUACCAAGGCGACGAUCAGUAGCUGGUCUGAGAGGAUGAUCAGCCACACUGGGACUGAGACACGGCCCAGACUCCUACGGGAAGCAGCAGUGGGGAAUAUUGGACAAUGGGCGCAAGCCUGAUCCAGCCAUGCCGCGUGAGUGAUGAAGGCCUUAGGGUUGUAAAGCUCUUUUGUCCGGGACGAUAAUGACGGUACCGGAAGAAUAAGCCCCGGCUAACUUCGUG